ACCGAGAGCCGCCGUCCAGAAGACGUCACUGCGUACUCUAUCUGGUUUAAGGAAAGGGUAAUGGCUUACGUUUGGCGAGUGGCUCGUACCUUUCCAGGAUCCAAAGCAAGAAGAUCGGUCAUGAACCGGCGCCGCGAUGGCAUCUAUAAGAGUGUUCAGAUAUUAGCACGCAGCGGUUUUUCGUGGGUCGAGUUCAAUUGAGGUCGCCGAGGAACGAUGAGUUCAGAGGGUGUGAAGGAAGAUUGUCUUGGUUGGGCCGCCAGAGAUGCUUCCGGACUUCUCUCCCCUACAAAUUCAGCCGCAGGUAUUACCAUUACCAUUUCCAUUAUUUUUAAUUUAGUUCAUCCGCUCCUUAUAUUUUCAGUGACUAUUGAAG